CCUACGGGAGGCAGCAGUCGAGAAUCAUUCACAAUGGGGGAAACCCUGAUGGUGCGACGCCGCGUGGGGGAAUGAAGGUCUUCGGAUUGUAAACCCCUGUCAUGUGGGAGCAAAUUAAAAAGAUAGUACCACAAGAGGAAGAGACGGCUAACUCUGUGCCAGCAGCCGCGGUAAUACAGAGGUCGCAAGCGUUGUUCGGAAUCACUGGGCGUAAAGCGUGCGUAGGCUGUUUCGUAAGUCGUGUGUGAAAGGCGCGGGCUCAACCCGCGGACGGCACAUGAUACUGCGAGACUAGAGUAAGGGAGGGGGAACCGGAAUUCUCGGUGUAGCAGUGAAAUGCGUAGAGAUCGAGAGGAACACUCGUGGCGAAGGCGGGUUCCUGGACAUUAACUGACGCUGAGGCACGAAGGCCAGGGGAGCGAAAGGGAUUAGAUACCCCAGUAGUC
rnacentral:rRNA from 1 species